UACGUAGGGUGCGAGCGUUAAUCGGAAUUAUUGGGCGUAAAGAGCUCGUAGGCGGUGUGUCACGUCGGCCGUGAAAACCUGCAGCUUAACUGUGGGCGUGCGGUCGAUACGGGCAUCACUGGAGUUCGGCAGGGGAGACUGGAAUUCCUGGUGUAGCGGUGAAAUGCGCAGAUAUCAGGAGGAACACCGGUGGCGAAGGCGGUUCUCUGGGCCUUACCUGACGCUGAGGAGCGAAAGCGUGGGGAGCGAACGGG
rnacentral:rRNA from 1 species